GGAGGCUUCCAAAGGUGCCCUCGGGACGAUUGGUAACCGUCCUGUGAGUGUAAUGGCGAAAGGGCGCUUGACUGGGAGGCACACAAGCCGAUCAGGUGGGAAACCAGGGCAUAGUGAUCCGGCGGUUCCGCAUGGAAGGGCCGUCGCUCAAAGGAUAAAAGGUACUCCGGGGAUAACAGGCUGAUCCCUCCCAAGAGCUCAUAUCGACGGAGUGGUUUGGCACCUCGAUGUCGGCUCAUCGCAUCCUGGGGCUGUAGUCGGUCCCAAGGGUUGGGCUGUUCGCCCAUUAAAGCGGUACGCGAGCUGGGUUCAGAACGUCGUGAGACAGUUCGG
rnacentral:rRNA from 1 species